rnacentral:rRNA from 1 species
CAAUAGCGUAUAUUAAAGUUGUUGCAAGUUAAAAAGCUCGUAGUUGAACUUCUGUCUGUAUGUCGUCCCUACAAGGAAUCGAUAAGACGGACAUCCCCGACUGACGGUUUACAGAGCUUAAGUGUUCUUAUAACCUGAACCGGAUUUUACUUUGAAAAAAUUAAGAGUAGUUUCAAGCAGGCGAUUUGCUGGAAUACAUUAGCAUGGAAUAAUAGAAGAUGACCACCACGCAUUUUAUUGGUAAUAUUGUCGGGAGGUAAUGAUUAACAGGGACAUUGGGGGGCAUUAGUAUUUAAUUGUCAGAGGUGAAAUUCAUUGAUUAAUUAAAGACUAACUU